rnacentral:rRNA from 1 species
AAAUGAGAGUUUGAUCCUGGCUCAGGAUGAACGCUGGCGGCGUGUUUAAGGCAUGCAAGUCGAUUGUGUAACUUCGGUUAUGCAAGGCAAACGGGUGAGUAACACAUUGGUAACCUACCUCUAACACAGGGAUAACCCAGAGAAAUUUGGGAUAAUACCUGAUAGUCAUAUAGUAAUAUAAAUUAUUAUAUGUAAAGUUCCGGCGGUUAGAGAGGGGCCCAUGGCUUAUCAGCUAGUUGGUGGGGUAAAAGCCUACCAAGGCUAUGACGAGUA